GAUAUAGGAUUUUCGACUAAGUACCAGCACGUCCUGUGUCGAACGUCGAAGUCAGCACACCUGUACA
rfam:Virgibacillus soli strain PL205 scaffold000047, whole genome shotgun sequence.